rnacentral:lncRNA from 1 species
UACCUUAGUAGGAGGGGAAAUACUGUGGUUCAGUAAAUGACUAUUAAUGUGUGUGUGUGAGAGUUAGAUACAGGAACUACAUGGGAUGAGAAAGGAAGAAUAAUACAGAAGUAGGAGAAAGAGGACUCAAAGAGAAGAAAGGAAGGAGGGGCAAAACAAAAAUGGUAAUCAGAUUACAUGAAAUAACAAUACAAAUGUUGUCUUUGGUGCUUGUUUGAUUCCCAAAUAUCUUACUGUUUGUGUGUGGAUAGAUCAAUGACGGACAUCAGCUCAAACUCUUUGUAGAACGCUGCAUUGUCCGUUUCAUUAGUUUAGUGGUAAAUUUGCCACAUCCAAUAUGGCGACGGGCCAACCCGCCAAAAGGGGCGUAUAGGUGCAUAUGUCAUGGCUGUAUGUGUAUGUAAGUAUGAGGUCACAGUGAGACAGCGCAGUGUGAUUCACUGGAUUAGCCCCGCCCACAGAGGGAUCAGCCAAUCGGAGGCAGAGGAGGAGACUGAACGAUGACUAACACGGAAACUGAAAGCUGUUUGAGCCCUUAUUCUCCUUCAGUGUGUGUGUGUUCAGCUGUACAGAGUCACAAGUGAGAUCCAAAACGACUCAUUUAUAUUCCCUGACAGAGAAGAUGAUCCUGCUGCUCCUCAUCCUCACCUCCUCAGCAGGAGGAGAAGUGGAGGUGACACAGAAAUACUACCAGGCGGAGGAAAAGCACCACAUCACACUGGAGUGGACGUUCACCACAAACACUGAUGAUACAGCUGAGGCGAUUCAUAUCUACUGCUGUCGUUCAGCCAAUGAGAAGUGCCCUCUUCUAUAUGAUGUCUAUGAAGGUGUUGAGCACCCAGAAAUAGUGCAUGAAGGUUUUUCAGGAAGAGUCCAGGUGGACACAGACGCCCUCAGAGAAGGACGAAUCAGACUUCAUCUGUCCAGACUCAGGACUGAAGACUCUGGUCUGUACUGGUGUGCUGUGAUGCCGGAUCAUGAUUCUGAGUACAGCGGCGCCAUGUGUGAACUGACUGUCUCUGCUGCUGAGAAACUAACGCAGAGUCCACCAGCAGCAGACACAGGAGGACAGACAGGACUCACCAUUGGACUUACAGCAGCAGGAGGAGUUCUGCUGUUUAUUAUGUACAGGGCUAUUGUCCAAAACAGAAAGAGAAAAAAUGAAUGACAUGUAGAGUCUCAAAAAAUCAGCACCCACCCCACUGAGCACGUGCAGACCUCCUCUUCCUCUGACAGCCUUCAUCAAACAUGUGGUUUUACAAUAGACAAUAGGUGUUAAGUUGUGGGUGUGAGUGCCCCCUGGUGGUAGAACAUGAUAACUACAGUCAGGAAGACCGCUGCAGAUGUGUGAAUGUGAACACACUGUGUUAUUUACACACACACAGAAUGACUGACACACACAUGUAAACAUGUAUAAAUACACACUACAUUAAGACAUCACAGCAUUUGAUCUAUUUUAACGUGAGUAUUGAUCAAACAGUGAAACACUGCUUUGUGUUACAGUUUGUAUGAUAGCAGGGUGGAGUAUACCAUGGCACAUUCACACCCACUGCUGUGUUGUUGAUCAUGUGUGUGUGUCUGUAACGUUGCAGCAGCAGGUUUGUGUUUUGUGCAGGUGUCCUGUCAGGAACAUUUUACUUUAGUAUAUAACUCUGAUAAACAGUGACACUGCUGCAACAUUCAAACCUGUGUCUGAGUCUGAGCUGUCUCCAGUGUUUCUGUUUGUAAUGUGAAGGAGACAUUAAUACUGAAUAUUUUACAGUAAAACACUGUUAAUCUUUACGUGGCUCAAAAAUGUUGGACAUGGUCGUUUAUUUUUUCAAUAAACGGCUGACGCCUGUCA